UACGACCACAUUACUUUGAAACACCAGUUCUCGUACGAUCACUGAAGUUAAGCAAUAUCGAGCCUGGUCAGUACCGAGAUGAGCGACCA